CCUACGGGUGGCAGCAGUGAGGAAUAUUGGUCAAUGGACGAGAGUCUGAACCAGCCAAGUAGCGUGAAGGAUGACUGCCCUAUGGGUUGUAAACUUCUUUUAUAUGGGAAUAAAAUGUUCCACGUGUGGGAUUUUGUAUGUACCAUAUGAAUAAGGAUCGGCUAACUCCGUGCCAGCAGCCGCGGUAAUACGGAGGAUCCGAGCGUUAUCCGGAUUUAUUGGGUUUAAAGGGAGCGUAGGUGGAUUGUUAAGUCAGUUGUGAAAGUUUGCGGCUCAACCGUAAAAUUGCAGUUGAAACUGGCAGUCUUGAGUACAGGAGAGGUGGGCGGAAUUCGUGGUGUAGCGGUGAAAUGCUUAGAUAUCACGAAGAACUCUGAUUGCGAAGGCAGUUCACUGGACUGCAACUGACACUGAGGCUCGAAAGUGUGGGUAUCAAACAGGAUUAGAUACCCCUGUAGUC
rnacentral:rRNA from 1 species